UUUUCAUCAGACAAUCUGUGUGAGCACUGCAAAGUACGCUUCUUUAAGGUAAGGAGGUGAUCCAACCGCAGGUUCCCCUACGGUUACCUUGUUACGACUUCACCCCAGUCAUGAAUCACAAAGUGGUAAGCGCCCUCCCGAAGGUUAAGCUACCUACUUCUUUUGCAACCCACUCCCAUGGUGUGACGGGCGGUGUGUACAAGGCCCGGGAACGUAUUCACCGUGGCAUUCUGAUCCACGAUUACUAGCGAUUCCGACUUCAUGGAGUCGAGUUGCAGACUCCAAUCCGGACUACGACGCACUUUAUGAGGUCCGCUUGCUCUCGCGAGGUCGCUUCUCUUUGUAUGCGCCAUUGUAGCACGUGUGUAGCCCUGGUCGUAAGGGCCAUGAUGACUUGACGUCAUCCCCACCUUCCUCCAGUUUAUCACUGGCAGUCUCCUUUGAGUUCCCGGCCGGACCGCUGGCAACAAAGGAUAAGGGUUGCGCUCGUUGCGGGACUUAACCCAACAUUUCACAACACGAGCUGACGACAGCCAUGCAGCACCUGUCUCACGGUUCCCGAAGGCACAUUCUCAUCUCUGAAAACUUCCGUGGAUGUCAAGACCAGGUAAGGUUCUUCGCGUUGCAUCGAAUUAAACCACAUGCUCCACCGCUUGUGCGGGCCCCCGUCAAUUCAUUUGAGUUUUAACCUUGCGGCCGUACUCCCCAGGCGGUCUACUUAACGCGUUAGCUCCGGAAGCCACGCCUCAAGGGCACAACCUCCAAGUAGACAUCGUUUACGGCGUGGACUACCAGGGUAUCUAAUCCUGUUUGCUCCCCACGCUUUCGCACCUGAGCGUCAGUCUUUGUCCAGGGGGCCGCCUUCGCCACCGGUAUUCCUCCAGAUCUCUACGCAUUUCACCGCUACNNNNNNNNNNNNNNNNNNNNCCCCCCUCUACAAGACUCAAGCCUGCCAGUUUCGAAUGCAGUUCCCAGGUUGAGCCCGGGGAUUUCACAUCCGACUUGACAGACCGCCUGCGUGCGCUUUACGCCCAGUAAUUCCGAUUAACGCUUGCACCCUCCGUAUUACCGCGGCUGCUGGCACGGAGUUAGCCGGUGCUUCUUCUGCGGGUAACGUCAAUUGCUGCGGUUAUUAACCACAACACCUUCCUCCCCGCUGAAAGUACUUUACAACCCGAAGGCCUUCUUCAUACACGCGGCAUGGCUGCAUCAGGCUUGCGCCCAUUGUGCAAUAUUCCCCACUGCUGCCUCCCGUAGGAGUCUGGACCGUGUCUCAGUUCCAGUGUGGCUGGUCAUCCUCUCAGACCAGCUAGGGAUCGUCGCCUUGGUGAGCCGUUACCUCACCAACAAGCUAAUCCCAUCUGGGCACAUCUGAUGGCAAGAGGCCCGAAGGUCCCCCUCUUUGGUCUUGCGACGUUAUGCGGUAUUAGCCACCGUUUCCAGUAGUUAUCCCCCUCCANNNNNNNNNNNNNNNNNNNNCCCGUCCGCCACUCGUCAGCAAAGCAGCAAGCUGCUUCCUGUUACCGUUCGACUUGCAUGUGUUAGGCCUGCCGCCAGCGUUCAAUCUGAGCCAUGAUCAAACUCUUCAAUUUAAAAGUUUGAUGCUCAAUGAAUUAAACUUCGUAAUGAAUUACGUGUUCACUCUUGAGACUUGGUAUUCAUUUUUCGU
rnacentral:rRNA from 1 species